rnacentral:rRNA from 1 species
UACGGGGGGAGCAAGCGUUGUUCGGAUUUACUGGGCGUAAAGGGCGCGUAGGCGGUCAGCACAAGUCAGUUGUGAAAUCUCCGGGCUUAACUCGGAAAGGUCAACUGAUACUGUGCGACUAGAGUGCGGAAGGGGCAACUGGAAUUCUCGGUGUAGCGGUGAAAUGCGUAGAUAUCAGGAGGAACAUCGGUGGCGAAGGCGACCCGCUGGCCAGCGACUGACGCUGAGACGCGAAAGCGUGGGGAGCAAACAGG